rnacentral:rRNA from 1 species
UACGGGAGGCAGCAGUGGGGAAUAUUGCACAAUGGGCGCAAGCCUGAUGCAGCCAUGCCGCGUGUAUGAAGAAGGCCUUCGGGUUGUAAAGUACUUUCAGUCGUGAGGAAGGUGUUAAGGUUAAUAACCUUAGCAAUUGACGUUAGCGACAGAAGAAGCACCGGCUAACUCCGUGCCAGCAGCCGCGGUAAUACGGGGGUGCGAGCGUUAAUCGGAAUUACUGGGCGUAAAGGGCACGCAGGCGGUUAAUUAAGUUGGAUGUGAAAUCCCCGGGCUUAACCUGGGAAUGGCAUUCAAGACUGGUUAGCUAGAGUCUUGUAGAGGGGGUAGAAUUCCAUGUGUAGCGGUGAAAUGCGUAGAGAUGUGGAGGAAUACCGGUGGCGAAGGCGGCCCCUGGACAAAGACUGACGCUCAUGUGCGAAAGCGUGGGGAGCAAAC